rnacentral:rRNA from 1 species
GUGGGGAAUAUUGCACAAUGGGCGCAAGCCUGAUGCAGCAACGCCGCGUGAGGGAUGACGGCCUUCGGGUUGUAAACCUCUUUUAGUAGGGAAGAAGCGAAAGUGACGGUACCUGCAGAAAAAGCACCGGCUAACUACGUGCCAGCAGCCGCGGUAAUACGUAGGGUGCAAGCGUUGUCCGGAAUUAUUGGGCGUAAAGAGCUCGUAGGCGGUUUGUCGCGUCUGCUGUGAAAUCCCGAGGCUCAACCUCGGGCCUGCAGUGGGUACGGGCAGACUUGAGUGCGGUAGGGGAGAUUGGAAUUCCUGGUGUAGCGGUGGAAUGCGCAGAUAUCAGGAGGAACACCGAUGGCGAAGGCAGAUCUCUGGGCCGUUACUGACGCUGAGGAGCGAAAGCAUGGGGAGCGAACAGGAUUAGAAACCCGAGUAGUCC